ACGAACGCUGGCGGCGUGCUUAACACCUGCAAGUCGAACGGUGAAGCGCCUUCCUUUUUGGUGGGUGUGGAUGAGUGGCGAACGGGUGAGUAACACGUGAGUAACCUGCCCCCUUCUUCUGGAUAACCGCAUGAAAGUGUGGCUAAUACGGGAUAUUCUGGGUCUGUCGCAUGAUGGGUCUGGGAAAGAUAUUGUUUCGGUGGGGGAUGGGCUCGCGGCCUAUCAGCUUGUUGGUGGGGUGAUGGCCUACCAAGGCGGUGACGGGUUGCCGGCCUGAGAGGGUGGCCGGUCACACUGGGACUGAGACACGGCCCAGACUCCUACGGGAGGCAGCGGUGGGGAAUAGUGCACAAUGGGCGCAAGCCUGAUGCAGCGACGCCGCGUGAGGGAUGGAGGCCUUCGGGUUGUGAACCUCUUUCGCCAGUGAAGCAGGCCUGCCUCGUUUGUGGGUGGGUUGACGGUAGCUGGAUAAGAAGCGCCGGCUAACUACGUG
rnacentral:rRNA from 1 species